GACGGGGGGGGCAAAUGUUCUUCGGAAUGACUGGGCGUAAAGGGCACGUAGGCGGUGAAUCGGGUUGAAAGUGAAAGUCGCCAAAAAGUGGCGGAAUGCUCUCGAAACCAAUUCACUUGAGUGAGACAGAGGAGAGUGGAAUUUCGUGUGUAGGGGUGAAAUCCGUAGAUCUACGAAGGAACGCCAAAAAGCGAAGGCAGCUCUCUGGGCCCUACCGACGCUGGGGUGCGAAAGCAUGGGGGAGCGGAACAGG
rnacentral:rRNA from 1 species